rnacentral:rRNA from 1 species
GACGAAGGGGGCUAGCGUUGUUCGGAAUUACUGGGCGUAAAGCGCGUGUAGGCGGUUGUCCAAGUUGGAUGUGAAAGCCUUGAGCUUAACUCAAGAAAUGUAUUCAGGACUGGAUGACUAGAGGACCGGAGAGGAUAGUGGAAUUCCCAGUGUAGUGGUGAAAUACGUAGAGAUUGGGAAGAACACCAGUGGCGAAGGCGGCUAUCUGGACGGUUUCUGACGCUAAGACGCGAAAGCGUGGGGAGCAAACAGG